rnacentral:rRNA from 1 species
AUUGAACGCUGGCGGCAUGCCUUACACAUGCAAGUCGAACGGUAACGGGUCCUUCGGGAUGCCGACGAGUGGCGAACGGGUGAGUAAUAUAUCGGAACGUGCCCAGUAGUGGGGGAUAACUGCUCGAAAGAGCAGCUAAUACCGCAUACGACCUGAGGGUGAAAGGGGGGGAUCGCAAGACCUCUCGCUAUUGGAGCGGCCGAUAUCAGAUUAGCUAGUUGGUGGGGUAAAGGCCUACCAAGGCAACGAUCUGUAGUUGGUCUGAGAGGACGACCAGCCACACUGGGACUGAGACACGGCCCAGACUCCUACGGGAGGCAGCAGUGGGGAAUUUUGGACAAUGGGCGCAAGCCUGAUCCAGCAAUGCCGCGUGCAGGAAGAAGGCCUUCGGGUUGUAAACUGCUUUUGUCAGGGAAGAAAUCUUCUGGGCUAAUACCCCGGGAGGAUGACGGUACCUGAAGAAUAAGCACCGGCUAACUACGUGCCAGCAGCCGCGGUAAUACGUAGGGCGCGAGCGUUAAUCGGAAUUACUGGGCGUAAAGCGUGCGCAGGCGGCUUUGCAAGACAGAUGUGAAAUCCCCGGGCUCAACCUGGGAACUGCAUUUGUGACUGCAAGGCUAGAGUACGGCAGAGGGGGAUGGAAUUCCGCGUGUAGCAGUGAAAUGCGUAGAUAUGCGGAGGAACACCAAUGGCGAAGGCAAUCCCCUGGGCCUGUACUGACGCUCAUGCACGAAAGCGUGGGGAGCAAACAGGAUUAGAUACCCUGGUAGUCCACGCCCUAAACGAUGUCAACUGGUUGUUGGACGGCUUGCUGUUCAGUAACGAAGCCAACGCGUGAAGUUGACCGCCUGGGGAGUACGGCCGCAAGGUUGAAGCUCAAAGGAAUUGACGGGGACCCGCACAAGCGGUGGAUGAUGUGGUUUAAUUCGAUGCAACGCGAAAAACCUUACCUACCCUUGACAUGUCAAGAAUUCUGCAGAGAUGUGGAAGUGCUCGAAAGAGAACUUGAACACAGGUGCUGCAUGGCCGUCGUCAGCUCGUGUCGUGAGAUGUUGGGUUAAGUCCCGCAACGAGCGCAACCCUUGUCAUUAGUUGCUACGCAAGAGCACUCUAAUGAGACUGCCGGUGACAAACCGGAGGAAGGUGGGGAUGACGUCAGGUCCUCAUGGCCCUUAUGGGUAGGGCUACACACGUCAUACAAUGGCCGGUACAGAGGGCUGCCAACCCGCGAGGGGGAGCCAAUCCCAGAAAACCGGUCGUAGUCCGGAUCGUAGUCUGCAACUCGACUGCGUGAAGUCGGAAUCGCUAGUAAUCGCGGAUCAGCUUGCCGCGGUGAAGGCGUUCCCGGGUCU